UACAGAGGGUGCAAGCGUUAUUCGGAAUUAUUGGGCGUAAAGCGCACGUAGGCGGAUUGUUAAGUCAGGGGUGAAAUCCUGGAGCUCAACUCCAGAACUGCCUUUGAUACUGGCGAUCUCGAGUCCGGGAGAGGUGAGUGGAACUGCGAGUGUAGAGGUGAAAUUCGUAGAUAUUCGCAAGAACACCAGUGGCGAAGGCGGCUCACUGGCCCGGUACUGACGCUGAGGUGCGAAAGCGUGGGGAGCAAACAGG
rnacentral:rRNA from 1 species